GUGCGAUAUCCCAAUAGAUUCCUGGCUGGACUCGGUUUACCCAGGGCGGCCGCCACUGAGCCUUUGCCACGCCUCAGCCCGUACAAGAAGGAGUGCUUUUUCUGGAGGACGACGGGCUGCAUGAGGGGAGACUGCACCUUCAGACACGUCCCCGAGCACAAGAACAUUGACAAGGACAAAUUCGUUGGCAGGGUGGGAAAUUUCAACAUGUAGGAAAAGAAAAACGCCGAGCAUGCGUUGUUUCCUUUGACGGUUACACAGUGGUUGGUGCCAAACUGCUUUUAGUCACCUCUGUUUGGGCUGGUUUUGGUUCUUGUGAAGUUUUUGCUUCAAAAAAAAAAAAAUUGGAUUCUGUUGAUGUUUGGAAAUGUUUGCACCUUGAUGGCCCGCCACUGUUGUACAAAUACACAGGAAGCAUCAAAUUACUUUAAACUACUGCAGUCUAGUAAUAAUUCAUGUGCAUCAGACUUUCCUCAGUAAGCAGGUUUUGUCAGGGAUUAUCUGUGAUGAUCUGAUCUGUUUGCAGAUUGUGUUUGAUUUUUAUUUUGCAGCUUUGCUUUGUUUUAAAAUGAUUUAACAGAUUUUUCUGUUGAUUUUCAGUCACCACUAGGUGACACCGUUACCUUUAUCCCUAAAUUUUGGGGCUACAAACUCUGCUUUUAUUUUAAAGGCUGUGACCGCUGAGUGAUUUUGCUGUCGGCGCAUUAAAUGUGCCAUGUUUGAAACUGUGCUGUGUGAUCUGACUGCUGGGGCUCUGGGUUUGUUUGACGUGUGAGCUGCUUGAGUUCAGGAUAUUUUUGUCUGUUGGAGAAUCUGUUUCAUGAUGUUUGGACACAAACUGUCAAACAGUAAGUGCCUGUUAUUGUAGCACUGUGGCAGCAGAUGAUCCUGGAUAUGAUCCGAUCAGAGAAAAUUAAAGCUUCAUAUCUGA